GGGGAAUUAGCUCAAAUGGUAGAGUGCUUGCUUAGCAUGUGAGAGGUUCUGGGAUCGAUGCCCACAUUCUCCA
rnacentral:tRNA from 1 species